rnacentral:rRNA from 1 species
AUUGAACGCUGGCGGCAGGCUUAACACAUGCAAGUCGAGCGGGGGAAGGUAGCUUGCUACCGGACCUAGCGGCGGACGGGUGAGUAAUGCUUAGGAAUCUGCCUAUUGGUGGGGGACAACAUCUCGAAAGGGAUGCUAAUACCGCAUACGUCCUACGGGAGAAAGCAGGGGAUCUUCGGACCUUGCGCUAAUAGAUGAGCCUAAGUCGGAUUAGCUAGUUGGUGGGGUAAAGGCCUACCAAGGCGACGAUCGGUAGCGGGUCUGAGAGGAUGAUCCGCCACACUGGGACUGAGACACGGACCAGACUCCUACGGGAGGCAGCAGUGGGGAAUAUUGGACAAUGGGGGGAACCCUGAUCCAGCCAUGCCGCGUGUGUGAAGAAGGCCUUAUGGUUGUAAAGCACUUUAAGCGAGGAGGAGGCUACUUUAGUUAAUACCUAGAGAUAGUGGACGUUACUCGCAGAAUAAGCACCGGCUAACUCUGUGCCAGCCGCCGCGGUAA